rnacentral:rRNA from 1 species
UUUUACUGAGUACCCUUCGUUUCCUCGGACGUGNUUCGCCCGCCGAAUUGGACAAUUUAAACCAUUUGCAGUUGCAAUCAGCGUCUGAAAAAACAUAAUAGUUACAACUUUCAACAACGGAUCUCUUGGUUCUGGCAUCGAUGAAGAACGCAGCGAAAUGCGAUAAGUAGUGUGAAUUGCAGAAUUCAGUGAAUCAUCGAAUCUUUGAACGCACAUUGCGCCCCUUGGUAUUCCAUGGGGCAUGCCUGUUCGAGCGUCAUUUGUACCUUCAAGCUCUGCUUGGUGUUGGGUGUUUGUCUCGCCUCUGCGUGUAGACUCGCCUCAAAACAAUUGGCAGCCGGCGUAUUGAUUUCGGAGCGCAGUACAUCUCGCGCUUUGCACUCAGAACGACGACGUCACACAAGUACAUUGGUACANUNAUGAGCNNGGAANAGNUAGGAA